rnacentral:rRNA from 1 species
GAUUAACGCUGGCAGAAUGCCUAACACAUGCAAGUCGAACGAAUCUUGCCGAGUGAUGUGAAGUAGCUUGCUAUGGAUCUGAACAGAGCGCUGAUUAGUGGCGAACGGGCGAGUAACGCGUAUUCAAUCUCCCUCCGAGUUGAGGAAAACUAUAGAGAUAUAGCUAAUCCUCAAUGGUCUCAUAUGAAUGAAAAUAGUAUGAGUAAAGGUUUACCGCUUGGAGAAGAGGAUGCGUCCUAUCAGGUAGUUGGCGGGAUAAAAGCCCACCAAGCCUAUGACGGGUAGCCGGUCUGAGAGGAUGGUCGGCCGCAAUGGGACUGAGACACGGCCCAUACCCCUACGGGGGGCAGCAGUGGGGAAUCUUGGACAAUGGGGGAAACCCUGAUCCAGCAAUUCUGCGUGCGGGAUGAAGGUCUAUGGAUUGUAAACCGCUUUUCUGAAGGAAGACGAAUGACGGUACUUCAGGAAUAAGCGACGGCUAACUUCGUG